GAUGUCGCUCGUGAUUGUCUUGUUCGUGUUGUGCACAGGCAGUUCUCCACCGUCGUAUCUGUCUGCAAAGCCUGGAGGACUGAGCUUGAUUUGCCGGAAUUUCACCGGCGCAGGAAACUUACCUGUAAUACUCAGAAGCUUGUCGUUAUGGCUCAAGCUCGAGUUGACCGAAAGGAAGAUUCUAAGGUUGUGAAAUAUCGGGUUAGCCCGGUUUAUCGUCUAACCCUUGUUGAACCGGAUACUGGUGAUUGGUGUGAUUUGCCACCGAUUCCUGGGUUUUCCGAUGGCUUGCCGAUGUUUUGCCAGGUGGUGAGUGUUGGGUCCGAUAUUGUUGUUUUGGGUGGGCUGGAUCC
rnacentral:misc_RNA from 1 species